AUCUCACCUUAUAUUGCUUACCUACGAAUCCGUUGGUCCGCAAUCCUGCCACUACAAUAAUCGAAUGUGGGCGAUGAUUACCUCGGCUGUUGCCAGCCUUGGAUCCGGUGUGUGCGGGUCUCCGCCUUUACAACGCGCUCUUUCCCUCUCUCGCCCCGUGGCACAGUUGACGAAGGACCUGAAACGUCCGACAGGCGCCAUUGAAAUUGCGAGUGUCUACGCAUUCCUCCCUCUGACGUUUUCGCCAACUCCUGUUUGGAUAAAUUAUCCUUGCUCCAGCAAACUCGUUACGAUCGGGACGUAAUUGUCUGCCACUCGCUCUAUAAAUAUGUACUUUUAAAUUAGAAUAAUCCGAGACGCUCCCGUCGCAUUCUCUUACUUAAGACUGUUUGGUAUUUAAUUACUAUACAACUAUACACGUUUCUAAUUUUUAUGACGUUUCGUUUAUACCAACCACCGCUUUCAUCGGUCAUACUUGACAAUGAUUUUUAUUCUUCUCUCAUUUUGUUGCUGUGCGUCAUCCUUGUAUAAAAAAAAAUCGAAUAAAUCAACAGCAGAAAAUGUGUUUUUAGCGUAUUUAUUUUCACUAUACUAUAUUUUAUUACAGAAUGAUAUCUGUGCAGAAUCAGAGGACAGUUCUCAUUAUUCACAAAGCACUACUGUUUUUGGAAUCCCUGUGCAAUGUACAUAUGGCAAUCUCCAAUAAUUUCAAUCAAAUCUGUGCCAUUACUGAUGGUUUCAAUCAAUAAGAUUUUCAAGAUGGGACAAUCCUGUUAGAGGUGUACAAUAGAUCACUGGAUGGUAGCAAUAUUAAAUAUAAAGUACCCCUUUACUGCUACUACUGUUACUACUACUACUACUACUACUACUACUACUACUACUA
rnacentral:lncRNA from 1 species